rnacentral:rRNA from 1 species
AUUGAACGCUGGCGGCAGGCCUAACACAUGCAAGUCGAGCGAGCGGCGGACGGGUGCGUAAUGUAUGGGGAUCUGCCCGAUAGAGGGGGAUAACUACUGGAAACGGUGGCUAAUACCGCAUACUAACGGCUGAACCCAUGUGGGAUUAGCUAGUAGGUUGGGUAAAGGCUCCCCGGGGCGACGCUCUCUAGCUGGUCUGAGAGGAUGAUCAGCCACACUGGGACUGAGACACGGCCCAGACUCCUACGGGAGGCAGCAGUGGGGAAUAUUUCACAAUGGGCGCAAGCCUGAUGCAGCCAUGCCGCGUGUAUGAAGAAGGCCUUAGGGUUGUAAAGUACUUUCAGCGGGGAGGCGUUACCCGCAGAAGAAGCACCGGCUAACUCCGUGCCAGCAGCCGCGGUAAUAC